AUGACGUCAAGUCCUCAUGGCCCUUAUGGUAGGGCUUCACACGUCAUACAAUGGUCGGUACAGAGGGUUGCCAAGCCGCGAGGUGGAGCCAAUCCCUUAAAGCCGAUCGUAGUCCGGAUCGUAGUCUGCAACUCGACUACGUGAAGUCGGAAUCGCUAGUAAUCGCAGAUCAGCAUGCUGCGGUGAAUACGUUCCCGGGUCUU
rnacentral:rRNA from 1 species